AAUAUUAUAAUGCAACAAUGAAGGGGGUAAAACAGUCAAAUCAAGUAAAAACAUACAAGUACAUAUUUCAUCGAAGAAAAUGUUGGUUGUUAUAAAUUUUGUGUUAGAAUUUGAAUACUUGGUGACAACACUGAGAAUUUUGUAGCUUUCUUGAAACUCUUGUGUUAGAAUUUGGAUACUUGGUGACAAGACUUUCUGAUUUUGGUAAAUUCUUUGGUGAAUCUUUUCUGUUGGUUUUUGUUCUGUGAUGGCGGUGAAGACUAAUGAAGUUGUCGAAGGCUUUCUGGCGGAGAAAUUGAUGAAAUUGCUUCUAUCUUUAGCUAUAAAAUGGGGGAUUUGCUGGAUAUGAAGAACUUGAAAGUUCACCAUUUUAGUGGUGCUAUGACUAAUGAGGUUUAUAGGAUAAAUUGGCCUACUAAGAACGAAAACGUCUCGAGGAGAGUUUUGGUUUGAAUGUAUGGUAAGGGCAUCAAGGUUUUCAUUGAUAGGGAUGAAGAGAUUAGAACUUUUGAGUCCUUGUCAAAGAAGAGUCAAGGACCUAAUCUUCUUGGUCAAUUUGCAAAUGUUAGAGUUAAGGAGUUCAUUCAUGCAAGGGAGCGACACUUAUCCAGGAGGUUAUUAGUUGAGCCCGACGCUGAACAUUAUUUGGGUUGUUGAAUUGUAUGGGAAACUCCUAAUCGUGACAACUAUUUUUGAUCUAUUGCAACUUACAACUAAGACAAACAAGUUAGCUGGUGAUGGUAUGGGGAGUACUAGAUAGUCAAGCAUUCUCACGUUCAGAAGAUGUAAGUGGCGAAAAUGAGAUGUUGAGAAGGGUAUGUGGGUAUAGUAGAAGUGAUAGAAGAAUUGCUAGCUGUCAAUUUUGGGGCUAACCCUGUAUAUAUGAAGAAAGGUAUGGAUCAAAACAGUAAUACAGUAAGAGAGCUGGUAAAAUUUUUUGAGGCUAACUUGCUUUAUUCUCUAUAUUUAUUCAACUCAGAAAAAUUCUCAUUCACUUAAAAAUUCAAGGCUUUAUUCUCUCUCUCCCCCUCUCUUCUUACUAUUUGUAGCCGUAGCUUCAAUAUAAACUGGAAAUGAUGAGUUCAUUGGUAGUUUGAUUGCUGAGGCAAUUAAGAAGAUUGGUCCUGAUGGAGUGAUAUGUGUUGAGUCUUUCUCAUCAGCUGCAGGAAGAUCAAUUCCUCAAGUUGUGACUGAUAGAGGUAAUUCUAUUAUUUAUAAUGUCCGCUACCUACUUGACUUUUCCAAGCUCAUGGUAAAAGGAUAAAAGAAAAGGUAUGAGAUCAAAGGUUUGUUCCAACUUCUUUGGCUUUUGCCACCUUUUUUUGUAAAUUUGUUGUCAUGAAAAUGGGGCGCGGUGAAAGUUGAUCUCAAAACAUAAUCAACAUCAUUAUAAUUAUUGAAUCCUAGAGUUGUGAGAUUUGUCUUCAUUGGUUAUAUGACAUCACAAAAUAUGGUAGGCCACGCUUUUGGAGCCUCCAAAAUUCGUAACUUGAAAAAAAAAUUAGCACGAGAACAAAAGAUCAAAGCAGAUAGAUUACAUGCUUCAGUAAAAUGGGGUGGCAACAACUGUCUACAGUUUUUUUGAGCUCUUUGGCUAUACUGGACUUUUCAAUUUGCUGCUUCUUUUUUUGAUGAUGUAUGGAGUAAAUUAUGAUCUAAUCAUGGUUAAUCUUUGUCCUUUUUUCCCUCCUUAGAAUGUUCAUGUUUAAUAGAAGUGGUCAAGGAGAAGUGUAUAACCCAAGCUACAAACAAAAGGAGAAUGGCUUUGAUGUUCCUCAUGACGAAUAUUUCCAUAAGCAUAUGCUAGCAUGUCUAAUUCUUUUUUGAAAGGCAAUGUUCAAGUAACAGUAGAAGAGGAGCAAUAUGUUGGGGAAUUAUAGAUAAUAGAUGUACAAAUCGUUCAAAUUAAAAAACGUAGAAAGAAGAUUGCUUUCCUUA